GUCUUUAUGGUAAUAAAUAUAAAGUCGUGCCUGCCCAUUGAUUAAAAUAUAAUUAAAAGGCCGCAGUAAUUUGACUGUGCAAAGGUAGCAUAAUCAUUUGUUUUUUAAUUGAAGACUGGAAUGAAUGGUUUGACGUGAAAAUUACUUUAUUAUUAUUUUUUAUUAAAAUUAAAUUUUAGGUUAAAAUGCCUAAAUUUAUUUAAGGGACGAAAAGACCCCAUUAAGUUUUAUAAAAAUUUUUAUUUGUAAUGAUAACAUUACAGAUAAAUUUUAUUAUUUUACUGGGGCGGUGCAAAUAGAUUAUCUUAUUUUAAUAAAAAUGAAUUUUAUUUUAUAAUUUACCUAUAUUAUGGAUAAAUAAAUUAAUUACUAUGGGGGUAACAGCGUAAUUUUUUUUUGGAGUUCAUAUUUAAAAAAGAGUUUGCGACCUCGAUGUUGGAUUAUUAUAACUGAUAGAUGAAGUAGUUUAUUAAGUGAGUCUGUUCGACUUUUAAAUUAAUACA
rnacentral:rRNA from 1 species